UUUUUUUUUUUUUUUUUUUUUAAUACUGACAUAUUGGGAGUUCCCCUCAUGGCAAUGCUGGAUCCUUAACUCACUGAGUGAGGCCAGGGAUUGAACCCCGGUCCUCAGGGAUACUUGUCUGGUUUGUUACCACUGAGCCACAAUAGGAAUGCCAAUAUUAAGUAUUUAUGAUGUUCUGAGCUCUAAGCCUCUUUUUUAACAUACUGUUCUCACCAAAAAUAUGUACUUUAGACAGAAACAUAUUGAGUACAAAGUUAUCAUAGUCAUCAUGCUAUGAAAAGUAAUUACAUAGGAAAAUAAAUUACAUGAAAUGAAUUUCCUCAUAGGAAAAAACUUAGGUAAAUCAAAUCUAAGAUAUAAUACUGUGUUUAUGGAGAAUAUUUUAUGAGUUUUUGUUUAUGAGAAGUGAUUGUGAAUUUAUCGGUAAAAAAGUGAAAAAUUAAUUGACUUUCAGUGGUUACAGAGUUAUAUGCUAGAAAUUUAGUUUCAGUUUUAAAAAAUAAAUGAUAAUUUUUAUUUUUAUGUAAGUGAAAAUUGAUAGAACAAACUAAAUUAUAAAAGUGAGAAAUACUUCUGGGAAAUAGACAUAGUGAUGUGAAUUUAGAGUUUAUAACACUAUCAGACACAAUGCUAAUUAAUAGAAGAAAAUAUAUAUUUUAUAACAUACAUUUAUUACAAAUUAAUCUUGUUGUCCAGGUCAAGGGUCAUUGUACAACUUAUAGGGAAGGAAUAAGCACAGAUUGAUCUUUCUUUAAAAUUUCUUUAUUAAAGCAUAGUUGAUUUACAGUGUUGAGUCAAUUUCUGCUGUAGUGACCCAGUCAUACGUAUAUAUACAGCCUUUUUCUCAUACUAUCCUCCAUCAUCUUCUAUCCCAAGAGACUGGAUAUAGUUUCUGGCGCUUUACAGUAAGACCUCAUGCUUAUCCAUUCUAAAUGUAAUUUUUUGCAUCUACCAAGCCCGAACUUCCAGUCCAUCCCACUCCCUCCCUGCCCCCCUUGGCAACCACAAGUCUGUUCUCUAUGUCUGUGAGUCCCUUUCUCUUUUGUAGAUGGGUUCAUUUGUACCAUGUUUUAGAUUCUAUGUAUGAGUGAUAUCAUAUGUUAUUUGUCUUUCUCUUUCUGGCUUACUUCACUUAGUAUGAGAAUCUUUAAAAUAUGAAGAUCAAAGCAAAGCAACAAAUACAUUUGAACAUAAGGUAGGUGAUAUUUAUCAAGAAAAAAAUUAUCAGACUUCGUUGUGCCUUUUUUUCCAGUUGUGGUAAGAAUAGCUCUAAUUUUUAAGUGGUUAUUACAAAAUAGAUAAAUUGUAAUUUGUUACACAUUUUAGUAUAUGCUAGGUAUAUAUACAUUUAUAUGUCAAGCAGUAACUAAUUUACUCCCUCUGGUAUUAUUUACACAGUUUACACAAAUUUAAAUUAUCUCCAAUAGAUAUCAUCACUAGUGGCAGCAGAAGAGGUAGGUAUUAAUGUUAAUACUAAGAGCUACCAUUCAUUAAAAUCUUAGCAUACUUUUAGACAAGGUACAACCAUAUAAUCAACAGGGCAGCUUCAUGAAGAAAUUUAAAUUCACAAUAAUUUUGGAUAUGAAUCUGGGAACAAGAAAAAGAUUAAAUUAUGGGAAAGCAUCUCAUUCAGAUGCUAUGCAAAUCUUGUUUUUUUAACUAGAGAUGCUUGGUUCUACUAGCAUUUAUCUUAGACACUGGUAUGAUUAGGACUUGCUUUUCAAAGAUUUAUAAUUGAAGUGAGGAAAAUCAAGAUUAUGCAGGUAAAAUAAUGUAGUGGGGAUAAUUUUAUGGUUUUAUACCACCUGGAAAAUUUUCUAUUUGGAAUAAUCAGCCUGUUACAUGUAGAAUAGUUUUUUAGGUAAAAAGAAAGGAAAAAUAAUAAUAAUACCAAUUAAAAAUACUACUAAGUUUACAGAAGAUCUGUGGGUUUAUAGAGAAUAAGGUUAAAGAAAUCUGCAGUAUUUAUAAACCUAGUCUCUUCAGUUCUGUGACUCGACAUGACAUAAUUUUGAUGGUUCUCAUGGGAAAGGUUCAGUUUAUUUAUUUAUUUGAUUAAGUCCACUUGGACAUGGUCUCUAAUUGAGGAAAAUCCAACAUUUCCUGAACUGGAGCUGCUGGAAGUGUAGGGGACAUGCCACAGUACGUUUGAAGGAACAGAUGAUAAGACUUCCAGAGUUAUCUUUAUACAUCCCAAGUCUGCUCCAUUAAAGUCAUAUUUUUUGUAAUGGAGAAGCAUUAAUUAUGAGUUGAUUUCCUGUCCAUUUUUGGUGUUUUGGUUAUUCCAGCUUUUAGGGUCUUAGGAGGUUAUUUUUAGAAGAGUUGCUUAUUAAAUAAAAAUAUAUAUUUAAAUAUUAAUUAUUUAUUCAUUAACCAAUUGUUUAUGGACCUUGAAAGUCAUGGGCUUUUAUUAUGAAAAUCAUCAUUUCAGCUUUAAAAUGUGAAUAUUUAAUUUGACAUUUUUAAGGAUCAAAGAGCUUGGGACAAAUUGUUUAGAGACCAGUUUGAGUUCUGAUUAUUUGAGUUCUAAUGAAGAUUUCAGAUGCUUAUAACCAUUCCAGUGAUAAUGUCUUUGAAAGCCAACAUAAAAGAAAAAAAAGAGAGAUCCUUGAUAAUUUCUGAGCCCUCACUAUUUAAGAAUUAGCUUCUUAGUACAGCUGUAUCCAAUUGUUUCUAAACUAUGAUCCCACAUCAUUUUAUCUGCAUCUCUUUUACUGCAUAUUUCAUUUCAGCUAAUUAUAGUCACUUGAGUAAGGGGAUCAACUCUCCUACAAAACUGUAGGAUUCCUGAAGCUAGAAUCCAUAUUGAAUCUUUGUGUUUCCUGUAACUUUUGGUAGAAUGUGAGUCAUAAGUAAGAACUUACCCAGACUUUAAACUUAAAUACCUAAGGGGACCAGGUCAUUACUGUAAAUGUUUGAAAUGGGAAGUGUUUGGAAUAUAAUAGUUGGAAAACAAAAAAAAACGUUUGGUUUCACAUUUUUAAAAACACUGACAGACUAAACAGAAUCCAACUGCCAACUGUUAGCUGGUGAACCUUAAAGUGAAUGAAUGAUGGAAUGAAUAAUGUGUUUUGUUAGCUCCACAUAGUGGUUAUCUAUCCAUUUUCAGGGUGCAUGAUGGUCAGUAAAUCGUGGCUGAAAACUCUGGCAGCUACCUCAGGAGAAUUACUAGAAGAACGGGUACUUGAUCUUUGUUUCUAAUGCCAGUUAGAAAAUGAGAAAAACAAUAUAUUCUACAUCAUACUUGUACUGAUAAUCUGUAAAUAACUGUAGCAUUAAAGGAAUAUAUGAAGAAAUUUAUUAUCAUUGAAUGAAUAAAAUGCAUUCAUUUUAGCCUCAACUUGAAGUAUUCUAGAAUCAGGGAAUUAAAUGCUUAUAAGCCCUAUCUUUCAACCACUAUGACUUGUUAGAAGGUACUUUCUCACAUGGAAAACUGUCUUCCCAUCAGUGUAACCUUUUUUUCCUUCUCUUAGAACUGGAACAGGAAGGUCCCAAUGCUUUCUUUCAUAGGCAGCCUUUUAAACACUGAAGACAAUUUUGUCAGCUAUUGCCAUUUAUAAAUCUCCCUAAAGCAUAGGGACUUAAAACAACAUGUUUAGUAGGUUAGCUGGGUGGUUCUGUGAUCUGUGCCAAACUGGGUUGAUAUCAAUGGAACGUUCUCAUGCAUCUGGGGCCAGAUAGAGAGUUUGCUGUGAGUUUGUUGGUUAUACAACUUGGGUUUCUUCCAUGUGUCCCUCUUAUCUCUCCAGCAGGUUGGCCAAGACAUGUCCCCACAGUAAUAAUAGAAAUCCAUAAGAAGAAGCAUAAACUCAUACUUUUUCAAGGCUCUGACUGUUCCAUUGGAAAAAUCAAAAAGUUAUAUAGCCAAGCCCAGAGCUGGUGGGGGAGGCCAUCAAUAAAGGAACAUAUGUACAACUGGGUUAAUUAAUACAAUUAAUGCUAUCCUGAAGUUCUUAUGCUCUUUCUGAUUUUUCUUUCCUUUAGUUAAUCCACAGUUCAUUCAGCCAUUGGAGAGACAGCAGUAAUGUGAAUUUUUCUUUCAUGCUGUUAAAGUUAUCUGGGUGACCUGGGAGAAUAGGAAAAAAUACAUAUUAACAGAGUAGUGAAGUUCAGUUAACCCUUAACUGACUGAUGGGUCAAAUGUGGGUCACCUGACUCCAGGGUAAUAGCAUGCCUAAGAUUCCUGGUUUAAAAGUUUAAAAAAGUUGAAAGUUAAAAAGUUUAAACUGAUUGCCUAAAACAUGAGCUAUUACACCCAUAAUGAUGUCCUGUACUUUCCUAAUUCCUUUUGGAGAAUUGAUUUUUACCAAAUGUCAUGCUAACGGACUUGAGAAAAUUAGCUAUUUUAAUAAAAACUGAAUAUGGUUAAUUAUAAAUUUGGGCAAUUUAAUUCCAAUUCUACUAAAACUAUGACAUGGAAAGAAGACCUUGUAAAUAGUAAAGUAAAAUAGUACUUUCUUAUGCAUUUGAAUCAUAUUUGAGUUUCAUCAAUAAUGGAUAUUCUAUAGGGAUUUAUCAUUAUUAUCUUUUAAAAAUUAUUUAUUCUUUAUGGAAUAGAUUUGUGAUAUUGUUUUCUAUUACUGAACCCUCCCAGACACUACUAUAAUGAGUAAAUGUUUUAGUAAAAACUACAAAUUAUAAAAUUUAUUUUUAAAAUCAGUGAUCACAAAAUGAAUCUGUAUGCUAUUGACAUUAGAAUUGCAGCUAAAAAUAUUAAACUGAGUUAAACUAAACUAAACUAAAACAAAACAAAUAUCUGAAGUCCUAACCUCAGAGAUUCUGCUUCAGUAGGUCUGGGAGUAGAAAGCUUUGCUUAUUUCUACUUGCUCUGCACUCUGCGCUGAUUCAUUGCUAGGGUGGGAGCCACUUUGUUUAAUGAUGCAAUUUACAUACAAUAGGAAUGGAAGAGCAGAGUAAUUUGGAAAACCUUGAUAAGAUUAGCAUCAACAUUGGAAAUGUAAGCCAAAUAAUUUUUUUCAAGUGAAAUAAAUUUCAUUAAUUAAAUAAACAGGUAAUAUAUUUUAUUUAAGGAACUAUAUCCCUUUGCCUCUUUGCCCCACCUCUGGCAACCACCAAUAUAUGUGCUGCAUAUAUUGAGCUUGUUUUUUGUUUUGUUUUAGUUUCCACAUAUAGGUGACAUCAUACGGUAUUUUCUUUUAUUUUUUAUUUUUUUAUUAAAGUAUAGAUGAUUUACAGUGUUGUGUCGAUUUCUGCUGUACAGCAUAGUGACCCAGUCAUAUAUGUAUAUGUGUGUAUAUAUAUAUAUAUAUACACAGACACACACACACACAUAUAUACAUUCUUUUUCUCAUACUGUCUUCCAUCAUGAGACUGAUAUAGUUCCCUGUGCUGUACAGUAGGACCUCACUGCUCAUCCAUUCUAAAUGUAAUAAUUUGCAAUGGAAUAAUUUGCAUCUAAAUAUCUAUCUGUUGGUACAGAGGACCAAUGAAUAUGAAGAGGGCUAAGUUUCUCUUCUAAAAAAUCUUAAGCCCUUUUUUUAGGAUGUAGGUCUACGUACAGAGACAAAUUACCGUGGACUCCAAAGCAAUGGUUCUCAGCAUUGGCUGUGUCUUACAAUCACGGGGUAAUUAAAAAUCCUGACACUUGGGUAGGCCUAUGAUAUCAAAAUUGAUUGUUGAGACUCAGGAAUCUGUGUUUUUUAAAACUCUCUAGGUAUUUUUUAAGUAUAGCCAAGUUUGAGAACUACUACCUUAGAGAGAAGCACACGGAAGAGGGAGGUCUGUUUGAAGAUGAAUAUUAAAGGACGAUUAGGCUUUUGACAGGCAGGUAAAAGAAAGAAAGGAUAUCAAGAAGAUGGCAUAGCAUAAGCAAAGGCAUGAGAAUACAGAAGUGCUUGAAGUGUUUGGGAGAGUUUUGCUGAAAGGGAGAAUUCCUGAAUGGCCAGCAGAGAGCUGAGCUUCUGCAUGUGGAAAGAUGUAUGGCUGAAAGGUUGGUUGGAGCCAGUGAGUCCUGGGCUAUACUGCAUUUAUUUUGUGAGUAUGUACUGCCAUCCAUCUGAUCUGUUGUUAAAAUUGACAACCUGAUGAACCAAGCUCCUGGGCUCAGUAUAUCCAAAAUGAUAUUUCAUCAUAGAACACUAUUCCACUGCAAUACUCUGAACAAAAGCAUCAGUUAAGUUUGGGAAAUACUGCCUGUGACACUCAUAGUCCUCUUAGAUAUUACAAGGAAUAUUAGAAUUUUUGCAGUAAAACAAGUUUAUUAACUCCAGUAUGCCCCCAAAUAUAUUUUAUUUCCGUUUGAUGCUUAUUAGUAUUUUCAGAAAAUAAUGUUUCAAGGUACAAAUUUUUGUUCCCCUGAAUUUUCCCCCAAUUGGCUUUUUAUUUUUCUGAAAUUGUUUUAGCUAGUAUUUUUUCCUGCUUUAAUUAUUUCCUUUCUUAUUUAUAUUUUCUAGAAUAUAGUCUGACCCCCGGACAUUUCUCCAAAGUUAACAUUUUUAUCUACUUUUCGAGAGGCAUAGGCAAAAAAAGUUGCCUAGUUAAGAGAAUAGUUAAUGUUCUAUUACAUAACUGGGAUGGUGUGAAUUGUAAAAAAA
rnacentral:lncRNA from 1 species